GGAGAAAUGCAGACAGUUCUUGCGGAGCUGCUGCCUAAACGAGUGAAAAAAAUAUUAAAAAACAAGCCAGAAGUCUACAUAAAGCCAUUGUUGUACUCUGGAGAAUAUAUUUUUGUUUUUCCGACCUGUCUUUGCCUUGGUGACGUUGUGAACGUAACCGAACGGGACUUGGCCAUUAAGGUUUGGAUCGGGAAAUGCCGAACUAGAAUCGGAGUUUGAUCCGCUGAGCGAGAAACAAGAUGGCGAGCCACCCAGGGACCCAUUGAACUGUACCGAGCAGGAAAAAGGAAACUGCCCCUGCUGGACGUUGAACUCUUUCACUAAAAACUGGUAGGAUUAAUCCAUACACCUCUGCAAAAGAACAGUGGACUUUCAAAGCACUGGAUAAUCGUUCAGAGCAAUUCCAGGAUUUAUAGUUAAAGGACACGGAGACAAUUUUCUUUUGUUUAUUUGUUUGUUUAAGGGAUUUGUUCAGCCUUUUGCUGAAUUGUUUUCAGUUUUUACAUGUUUUUGUAAUUUAUUUUGGACAACCAAUUUUAAUGCUGUAAUGGUGUUAAUGGAAAUGUAAAUAAUUUUGUUGGGUUUAAAACAAAAUAAGAACGGGUUGAAAUUUAGAGGUGAACUUAGACCAAGAUUAAAUUAAAUCUUGGGCUUAAAAGAACUAAACUUGAUUUAAAAUAACACAGUGUUAAUGCAAAUAGAUCAAAGGAUAAACUUGAACUUAGAACUUGAAAUGAAUAAAACAAUAACCUAGGUUGAAAAUAACAUCCCUUUAAAGCCAAAUAAAAGGUUUUGAAAUAAAUAGGAUAAAUUAACAGAAAUUACUGAACUAAAAGGGAAAGAAAAUAUCUUGUUUCCUUAAAGGUGUGUUGAAUGUUUUAUGUAAUGUGUCUAUAACUGUCUUUUCUCUGUCUUUUUCAAAAUAACAAGCCGGCAAUUUAAACGUAUUUUCUGGUCUGUGGUCUUUAUCACAUCCUACACUCAUUACUACUCUAGUAGCCGAACCUAACUGGUCCUAGUAUACUGUAACGACUCCAGAAGUGUUACACUUAUGUGGAUUCUCUCUAGGUGCUUUCGCUCCUUUCCACAGAUUAAUGACUCAGACGUUUUGCAGGCUGGAUUAAUUUGUGCCUACCAGUAGGUGGGAUUGUUAUUGUGAAUGGAUGUCUUUCUUAUUGUGUCAAGCACAUGAACGUAGGUGGUAAUGCUAUUGUGAAUGCAUGUCUUUUUCUUCAUGUAAGCCCUGUGACUGACUGGCAACCUAUCCAAGGUCUAUCCGCCUCUGCCAACUGUCACCUGGGAUAAACUCUCUUACUUUGAAAUAGACGACUAUAGCUAAUGAAUAGAUGAUAAAUUACCCCCCCAAAAACCCAUAGCUGCUGUAGCUUUUCCGUAAUGCAAUUUUCCAACAUCGUCUGUUCUUUUAUGAACUAUUAUAGCA
ensembl:lncRNA